AUUGAACGCUGGCGGCAGGCCUAACACAUGCAAGUCGAGCGGAUGAGGAAAGCUUGCUUUUCGAUUCAGCGGCGGACGGGUGAGUAAUGCCUAGGAAUCUGCCUGUUAGUGGGGGAUAACUCGGGGAAACUCGGGCUAAUACCGCAUACGUCCUACGGGAGAAAGUGGGGGAUCUUCGGACCUCACGCUAACAGAUGAGCCUAGGUCGGAUUAGCUAGUAGGUGAGGUAAUGGCUCACCUAGGCGGCGAUCCGUAACUGGUCUGAGAGGAUGAUCAGUCACACUGGAACUGAGACACGGUCCAGACUCCUACGGGAGGCAGCAGUGGGGAAUAUUGGACAAUGGGCGAAAGCCUGAUCCAGCCAUGCCGCGUGUGUGAAGAAGGUCUUCGGAUUGUAAAGCACUUUAAGUUGGGAGGAAGGGUAUUCACCUAAUACGUGGGUACUUUGACGUUACCAACAGAAUAAGCACCGGCUAACUCUGUGCCAGCAGCCGCAGUAACAC
rnacentral:rRNA from 1 species